rnacentral:rRNA from 2 species
UCGCCCUUUUCCGGUUGAUCCUGCCGGACCCGACUGCUAUCGGAUUGAGAUUUAGCCAUGCGAGUUGAACGUCCCUUGAUUGCAGGGGGCGUAGCAUACGGCUCAGUAACACGUAGUCAACCUGCCCUGGAGACGCGGAUAACCCCGGGAAACUGGGACCAAUCCGUGAUAGGUCGCCCCAUCUGGAAGGAGGGGCGGCCCAAAGGGGAAUUGUGGGCUUCCACUUUUCUCGCUCUAGGAUGGGACUGCGGCCGAUCAGGCUGUUGGCGGGGUAAUGGCCCACCAAACCUGUAACCGGUACGGGCCUUGAGAGAGGUGGCCCGGAGAUGGACACUGAGACAAGGGUCCAGGUCCUACGGGGCGCAGCAGGCGCGAAACCUUCGCAAUGUGCGAAAGCAUGACGAGGUUAAUCCGAGUGGCUUCCGCUGAGGAAGUCUUUUGCCGACUGUAAAAAGGUCGGAGAAUAAGGGGAGGGCAAGUCUGGUGUCAGCCGCCGCGGUAAUACCAGCUCCUCGAGUGGUCGGGGCGAUUAUUGGGCCUAAAGCAUCCGUAGCCGGUUCCGUAGGUCUCCUGCAAAGUCCAGUCGCUCAACGAUUGGCCCGCAGGAGAUACCGCGGGACUAGGAGGCGGGAGAGGUGGACGGUACUCCACGUGUAGGGGUAAAAUCCUUUGAUCCGUGGAAGACCACCAGUGGCGAAGGCGGUCCACCAGAACGCGCUCGACGGUGAGGGAUGAAAGCUGGGGGAGCGAACCGGAUUAGAUACCCGGGUAGUCCCAGCCGUAAACGAUGCUAGCUAGAUGAUCCGAUCGUAAAUCAUGAUCGGAGUGUCGCAGGGAAGCCGUUAAGCUAGCCGCCUGGGGAGUACGGUCGCAAGACUGAAACUUAAAGGAAUUGGCGGGGGAGCACCACAAGGGGUGAAGCCUGCGGUUCAAUUGGAGUCAACCCCAGGAAACUUACCAGGAGAGACAGCAGAUUGAGGGUCAGACUGAAGAUCUUACCUGACGAGCUGAGAGGAGGUGCAUGGCCGUCGCCAGCUCGUGCCGUGAGGCGUCCUGUUAAGUCAGGCAACGAGCGAGACCCAAAGGGCG